UACGUAGGGUGCGAGCGUUGUCCGGAAUUAUUGGGCGUAAAGAGCUCGUAGGCGGUCUGUCGCGUCGAUCGUGAAAACUUGGGGCUUAACUCUGGGCGUGCGGUCGAUACGGGCAUCACUGGAGUUCGGCAGGGGAGACUGGAAUUCCUGGUGUAGCGGUGGAAUGCGCAGAUAUCAGGAGGAACACCAAUAGCGAAGGCAGCUCGCUGGGACGUUACUGACACUGAGGCGCGAAAGCGUGGGGAGCGAACAGG
rnacentral:rRNA from 1 species